GAAUGGAUUGAAGAGUCAGUGAUUUCUAGCAACCAUAUUGACUGCUCAUAUUUGGAGGACAGUCUUAAAUGUAGAGGGGCACAGAGACUGGCAAUAUUCAUUAACACUUUUUUUUUUUUUUUUACUUGUACCAGUUACAUUGUGUGUUCUCCUCCAGUCACAUCCAGAGCUGCAUUCACAUUGCCGCUGGUUUCCUGUUCCUGUCACGCCACGAGACCUUUCAUCUACGGUAACUCUUUCACCUGCAACAUCUCUCAAGUGCAACUCCUUAAGUGCACAGUCUGAAUUAUACCAGAAUUGGACCAGAAGGGGACCUCAGUGCUGGACAAUCAGCAGAGCAGCCAUCAUCACCUAUUGUUCCCUGUUACCAGCCAUUUCAAGAUCUGGCACCCGUGAUCUGGAUUCAGAGACAUGCACCGUCCGUGGGUUCCUGCUCUAUAAAUGCAGAUGAUCCAGGGGGUAUGAAUUCUCCCUCAGCGUUCCUUCACCAUCCACUAUGGGGCUGCGGGGUC